rnacentral:rRNA from 1 species
CAGUCGCCGCGGGAAUACAGAGGGUGCAAGCGUUAAUCGGAUUUACUGGGCGUAAAGGGCGCGUAGGUGGUUAUUUAAGUGAGAUGUGAAAGCCCCGGGCUUAACCUGGGAACUGCAUCUUAUACUGGGUAACUGGAGUGCAGUAGAGGGCAGUGGAAUUUCCGGUGUAGCGGUGAAAUGCGUAGAUAUGCGGAGGAACACCGAUGGCGAAGGCAAUCCCCUGGACCUGUACUGACGCUCAUGCACGAAAGCGUGGGGAGCAAACAGGAUUAGAUACCCGUGUAGUCCCUGUCUCUUAUAC